rnacentral:rRNA from 1 species
UAUUUAGUGCAUGGAAUAAUAGAAUAUGAUCUCGGUUCUAUUUUGUUGGUUUUCAGAACUCCGAGGUAAUGAUUAAUAGGGAUAACUGGGGGCAUUCGUAUUGCGACGUUAGAGGUGAAAUUCUUGGAUCGUCGCAAGACACAUCAGCGAAAGCAUUUGCCAAAGGUGUUUUCAUCAAGAACGAAAGUUAGAGGUUCGAAGGCGAUUAGAUACCGCCCUAGAUCUAACCGUAAAUAUG